GCAAGUUUGGCCGAGUGGUUAAGGCGUCGUGUUUAGGCUCGCUUAGGUGAACCAGUAACAACCGCGAUGGGAAACCGCGCAGGUUCGAAUCCUGCAGCUUGCA